rnacentral:rRNA from 1 species
AAGUCGUAACAAGGUCUCCGUUGGUGAACCAGCGGAGGGAUCAUUACAGAGUUGCAAAACUCCCACAAACCAUCGCGAAUCUUACCCGUACGGUUGCCUCGGCGCUGGCGGUCCGGAAAGCCCUCGGGCUCAUGGAUCCUCGGGUCUCCCGCUUGCGGGAGGCUGCCCGCCGGAGUGCCGAAACUUAACUCUUGAUAUUUUAUGUCUCUCUGAGUAAACUUUUAAAUAAGUCAAAACUUUCAACAACGGAUCUCUUGGUUCUGGCAUCGAUGAAGAACGCAGCGAAAUGCGAUAAGUAAUGUGAAUUGCAGAAUUCAGUGAAUCAUCGAAUCUUUGAACGCACAUUGCGCUCGCCAGUAUUCUGGCGAGCAUGCCUGUUCGAGCGUCAUUUCAACCAUCAAGCUCUGCUUGCGUUGGGGAUCCGCGGCUGCCCGCGGUCCCUCAAAAACAGUGGCGGGCUCGCUAGUCACACCGAGCGUAGUAACUCUACAUCGCUAUGGUCGUGCGGCGGGUUCUUGCCGUAAAACCCCCAAUUUUUUAAGGUUGACCUCGGAUCAGGUAGGAAUACCCGCUGAACUUAAGCAUAUCAAUA